UACAGAGGGUGCAAGCGUUAAUCGGAAUUACUGGGCGUAAAGCGUGCGUAGACGGUUAUGUAAGUCAGAUGUGAAAGCCCCGGGCUCAACCUGGGAAUUGCAUUUGAGACUGUGUAGCUAGGGUGCGGAAGAGGGAAGCGGAAUUUCCGGUGUAGCGGUGAAAUGCGUAGAUAUCAAGUGGAACACCAGUGGCGAAGGCGAGUCCCUGGACAACUCCUGACACUGAGGCACGAAAGCUAGGGGAGCAAACAGG
rnacentral:rRNA from 1 species